CCUCCCCUGCUCAGUCAACCCCCUGCGUGUGUAAUCCCUGCCAGCUGUCCCCACAAUCUAAUCUCUCUACCACGAUCAGCUGGGACGUUACACGCACGUGUGUGUGUGUGUGUGAGCGCGUAUGUAUGUGCCCAGGGAGGUGGGGGUGGUGUCAAACGGAGAGCAUAAAUUGUAGCCCGAGCGUGUGCGCAGCGCAGUGUGUGUGUGUCCGUGUGUGUGAACCGCUCAUCCCUUGCAUACCUGCUCUUUCCCUCUUCCUCUGGAUAUGUAUACAUAUAUGAUGUGCUUAUAUAUGUAUAUGCGCAUUCUCAGCUUUUCGUUUUGUUGUUUUUUUAAAAACAUUUUUUUAGUGACGCGCACUGCUGGAUUUUCUCAGGCUGAUUUUCUCACGGGGGGAGAACACUCCUCUUUUUUUUGUUGUUGUUGUUGUUUUGGUUUUUAAGCGACUGCGGCAUCCCAGCACCUGAUUUUCCCUUCCUGCAUGCGUGAAAACCUUCCUACCUGCCUACCUCUCCCCUAAACCCCCUCCACCCCACCCCCAAAACAUCUACCCUUGCAAUCCCGCUCUCCAGCCCCCAGGAAGAGGAGCCUCAGCCGGGGCAGAGAGCUUCGGCAGGACACCCCCUGUUCACCCUUGGAUGGAGAAUAGCGAGAACUGACGGAACUAAGAAAACGGGAAAAAAAACGGGAUAUACGCUUCUGUUUUCUCCACUAGAGCGAGAAUGCGAGGAAAAAGAAUGAAGCUAAAGAUAAUUUGCUGCUCAGUGUCAGUAGUUUUGAAGAAACAGACCGUGCUUCUGGGUAAUUGUUGUAUGUGAUCUGAUGCUUGUGGCUGUAACUGAUGUGUUUUGGAAUAUUAUUAUUAUUAUUAUUAUUAUUUGCCUAAAUACGUGUACAUGUUCUCUGUAACAUAUGCAUUUAUUUCAAAUGUCACCGUCCGCUUCAACUCAUUUUAUGUGAUGUGAUUUUAACCGUACUUGUUUUUACUUGCCGUAUAGGUGCGCGUAUGCUGAGAGAGAGUGAGAGAAAUAAAAGACAGAGAGAGAGGUGGGGGGAGAGAGGCAGAGAACAGACUGUCAUAGGGAAGCGCUAGCUUUACAUUGUGAUGCUGGCAGCCGUCUCAUCAUGGCGGUGGACGUGCUGAAUGGACGAGGGGGAGAGCAGUGCAUAGCUUUGCAUCUUCGCACAUCCCUCACGCACAGCUUUGCUGGUCCUCUUUGUUUGGCUGAGAGAGGGAAAAGGUCUGCUGGAAUGAAACAGAAGGCAGGUGCCAGGGCUUCUUGCAGAAUGGGUACAACAAAAGACAUGGCCAGGCGUUACUAAUGGCAAAAAUACACGCGCGCGCUCUUGAUAAUGCGCUGAACGCACGCGGCUGCUCGACUGUCAACACGCUGAUAAACGGAGCCCUUCACCCCGCGCACAAUCCGGACAGCAACGGCAGCGGGAUAAAAAGCGAUAAUACUGUCUGGGGUACAAGAAGAACCUAAAUCGGAAAUUCACAACAUCUAUUGCUCUUAAACCCGAGACUGAUUGAGUUCAGGCCUGCGUCUCUUUGUUAUUCAGCUGCAGCCCUGUAUCAGCGGUCACAAGGAUAUGAUCUAAAAGCCUGAAAAUCGCUGCAGACUUUCCUGUGGCCUGCACUGUUAGGGCGACUGAUAUAAAAGGAGGCAAGAUAAACCUCUAUAUUAGGCUUCUUCAUGCUUCAAGAUUUUUUUCCAAGCAAAUUCGUGAGAGGCACCCUUCGGUUUUAAGAGCAAAAAAGUAAAUCAUAACGUAAACGUCAGCAGGCAUGUGCACUAUUUGGUGUGCUCUAUUUUGAGAGGAGAAUGACACAUGGACAGACUAGACUGCAUCUGUCUUAAACACACACCGCAUCAACGGUCUCAGAGACACGUGCCGUUCCCCUCCCCACCUUGUCUGGGGAUCCCGAGAGGUUUUGGGGUCCCUGGGGAGAGAGAGGCCGAGGUCAGAGAAGGGCCCCUGAGGCGGCAUGAUAUAGACAGACGGGAGGUUGAGCCAUGUGCUGCAUCUUAUUUCCCCCUAAUACGUAGAAGAAAAAAACCCACCCCCAAUAUUAACAAUACACACACGCACAUAGACGGGUUAAUAUCUCUCAUGCUCUAAAACACAAGACCAAUACAUGCACACUAUAUGGCCAUACACACAUGAAGCAAGAAUUGAUUCAGGAUCAUAUAAGGCAUCUUGUAAACACUUGGUCUUAGCACUUAAGGAGGCAGUGCUCUGCUGCAUUGCCAUCAAUUAAAAGGUUUAAUUGAUUGAUGGCUGUGACCUCACUGACACACUGGCCCUUGACAAAUUACCCAAGCUUAAAACCGUUGGAUUGUAAAAUGUAAAAUCGCAUAUACACAGCGUGAAAUGCCUGUUCAUUUUACCUCAUAAAAUGUGGAAGGUUUAAUGUCGUGCACACUGAAAUAAACAAGGGUGGUCUCAAAAUCU